AGCCACGCAAUGAGCACAUAGCAAAUUAUUCUUUCCCCUUUUACUAAAGAAUACCGUGUUCGUUGCAAAUAGUGGCCUUCGCCUAUAUUCAGAAUGCUCAAUAUUUGUUUAAAAU
rnacentral:snRNA from 2 species